CUACGGGACGCUGCAGUGGGGAAUAUUGCACAAUGGAGGAAACUCUGAUGCAGCAACGCCGCGUGGAGGAUGACACUUUUCGGAGCGUAAACUCCUUUUAUAUAGGAAGAAGAUGACGGUACUAUAUGAAUAAGCGCCGGCUAACUCCGUGCCAGCAGCCUCGGUAAUACGGAGGGCGCAAGCGUUACUCGGAAUCACUGGGCGUAAAGAGCGUGUAGGCGGAUUAAAAAGUCAGAAGUGAAAUCCUAUAGCUUAACUAUAGAACUGCUUCUGAAACUCUUAAUCUAGAAUAUGGGAGAGGUAGAUGGAAUUUCUGGUGUAGGGGUAAAAUCCGUAGAGAUCAGAAGGAAUACCGAUUGCGAAGGCGAUCUACUAGAACAUUAUUGACGCUGAGACGCGAAAGCGUGGGGAGCAAACAGGAUUAGAUACCCCAGUAGUC
rnacentral:rRNA from 1 species